AUUGGACGCUGGCGGCAGGCCUAACACAUGCAAGUCGAACGGUAACAGGAAACAGCUUGCUGUUUCGCUGACGAGUGGCGGACGGGUGAGUAAUGUCUGGGAAACUGCCUGAUGGAGGGGGAUAACUACUGGAAACGGUAGCUAAUACCGCAUAACGUCGCAAGACCAAAGAGGGGGACCCUCGGGCCUCUUGCCAUCGGCUGUGCCCAGAUGGGAUUAGCUUGUUGGUGGGGUAACGGCUCACCAAGGCGACGAUCCCUAGCUGGUCUGAGAGGAUGACCAGCCACACUGGAACUGAGACACGGUCCAGACGCCUACGGGAGGCAGCAGUGGGGAAUAUUGCACAAUGGGCGCAAGCCUGAUGCAGCCAUGCCGCGUGUAUGAAGAAGGCCUUCGGGUUGUAAAGUACUUUCAGCGGGGAGGAAGGGAGUAAAGUUAAUACCUUUGCUCAUGGACGUUACCCGCAGAAGAAGCACCGGCGAACUCCGU
rnacentral:rRNA from 1 species